UCACCUCUUAUUGUCGUCUCUUGAUUUUCCAAACUUCAAUCCUUAUAAUUUCUAUCAUGUUCCAAGCAUUAAACCUCCCUAGAAUUUUAAGAAAAACAUCAAAAGCACCAUUGAUUUUACUAUUGUUUAUCUUGUGGGUUUUCUCGGAUUUACUGUCAAACAUUCAUUCUUUCCUCAACAAAGUGAAGAUUCGGAACAGUUGGAACCUUCGAUGAGCCAAGAAAAAAGGAAAGGAAAAGCUAGUUUAGGCUUUCGGCGACUAGGCGAGAGCACGAAUGUUAGCAAUGCAGUAUGAGCGAUGCAGAAAUUCCAAGGAAGUGAUCCAAGUUAGGCUCAGUAAUUUGAGUAAGUGAUGUUAUUAUUCUUUUAUACUGCAGAAAUAAAGGCAAUGUGGCUAGAAUGUUGCUGAAUAUGCAUAUUAUGUCUUGAUAUUUUGAUGUGUUUAUAGACUUUUAGGAUUUGAUGAAUGUUUAUCAUUAUUUUGUUGUAUUGCUUUAGCUAGAAUAUUUGAGAUUGAAAAGCUGAUUUGGGACUAAAAUUAUGGUCAUUUUGAUGCUAGAGGAUGUGUUAGUUGAUGCAUGAUGAAGAGGUAAAUGUUUGAGUGUGUAUUAUGC